UUUUGUACAAUAAGAGAUGAGGCGUAAAGGUGCGGCGUGUUAAGCGGAGGUGCUUCCUAAUUAUUAUUGAGUGAGUGCUCAUAGAAGGUGAGAAGCCUGUAUGGUAGCACGUAUUUGUUUAACCGCAGCACUGAAGAGUCGAGUUGUUUGAGAGUACAACUUAAAGAUGGUGGUAAAUUUCAUCAAAGGCUAAAUAUAUGAAGGGACUAAUAGUGAACAAGUACCAUGAGGGAAAGUUGAAAAGAACUCUGAUGAGAGAGUUCAACAGUACGUGAAACCAUAUUGAGUAAAACAGAUAACUGUGUUGUUACGUUGUGCGCCUAUCAACGGUCGAUUCGGUGUUGCGCGACUAUGAGUGUAAGCUGUCUAUGCAGUUUGGUGCUCGUGGCCAGCAUAUCCAAUUGUUCUGUGCACUAGUGCGCACUCAUGCAUUGAGUGACUAUGCAGGUGAGGCAUCCGCGUGCAUUAGUAUGUAUAUUGUACACGAGUGUACGCUGGGCGUCAGGAAGCCAACAUAGUUUAGCUGUGUGACAGCUGUGGAUCGCGUUUAUCGAAGCGGCUCACUGUAAGUGCGAAAUGGUUAAUUCUUUUUUGCGGUGAGUGAGUCGCCAUACGUAAGCGGUUCGCCAUGAAUGCCAAACAUUAGUUAUCUGACCCGUCUUGAAACACGGACCAAGGAGUUCAAAUGGCACGCGAGUCACUGGGUGCAAGAACCCGAAGGCGAAGUGAAAUGCAAACGUAUUGUAAUUUGUGGUUGUUCCAUGAUGAAGCGAUAAGCUACUGAUGCCUUGUGGCAUUUGUAGACUAUAAGCGUGACGUUUGAGAYCCGAAAGAUGGUGACCUAUGCCUAGUCAAGAUGAASCCAGAGGAAACUCUGGUGGAUGUCUGAAGUUAUUCUGACGUGCAAAUCGAUAAUCUGAUCUGGGUAUAGGGGCGAAAGACUAAUCGAACCAUCUAGUAGCUGGUUCCUUCCGAAGUUUCCCUCAGGAUAGCAAGCAUAUGUUUUUAGUUUCAUCCCGUAAAGCGAAUGAUUAGAGGCAUUGGGGCGCAUAUAGCCUCAACCUAUUCUCAAACUUUUAAUGGGUGUGAGUGUUCUUUCUCAAUUGAAGAAUGCUGCUAAAUAAGUAUGCUUAGUGGGCCAUUUUUGGUAAGCAGAACUGGCGCUGUGGGUUGAACCAAUUGUUGAGUUAAAGUGCCAAAAGCUGGAAUGCGCAUGAGAUCUAUAAAGGGUGUUAGUUGCUGAAGACAGCAGG
rnacentral:rRNA from 1 species